rnacentral:rRNA from 1 species
CCUACGGGUGGCAGCAGUAGGGAAUCUUCCACAAUGGGCGAAAGCCUGAUGGAGCAACGCCGCGUGGGUGAAGAAGGUCUUCGGAUCGUAAAACCCUGUUGUUAGAGAAGAAAGUGCGUGAGAGUAACUGUUCACGUUUCGACGGCAUCUAACCAGAAAGGCACGGCUAACUACGUGCCAGCAGCCGCGGUAAUACGUAGGUGGCAAGCGUUAUCCGGAUUUAUUGGGCGUAAAGGGAACGCAGGCGGUCUUUUAAGUCUGAUGUGAAAGGCCUCGGCUUAACCGGAGUAGUGCAUUGGAAACUGGGUGACUUGAGUGCGGGAGAGGAAUGUGGAACUCGAUGUGUAGCGGUGAAAUGCGUAGAUAUAUGGAAGAACACCGAUGGCGAAAGCAGCACACUGGUCUGUAACUGACGCUGAGGUUCGAAAGCGUGGGUAGCGAACAGGAUUAGAUACCCGUGUAGUC